rnacentral:sRNA from 1 species
AGCUUUGGCGUCUCAGCGCGCUCUUCUCGCGCAUGCGUUCUCCGAACGGUCUUCUUCCGACAGCUUGCUGCCCUAGACCAGAGUUGGUGGCUGGACCUCCUGCGACUUCCGAGUUGCGAUGCUGUACUUCUCUUUGUUUCGGGCGGCUCGGCCUCUGCAGAGAUGUGGGCAGCUGGUCAGGAUGGCCAUUCGGGCUCAGCACAGCAACGCAGCCCAGACUCAGACUGGGGAAGCAAACAGGGGCUGGACAGGCCAGGAGAGCCUGUCGGACAGUGAUCCUGAGAUGUGGGAGUUGCUGCAGAGGGAGAAGGACAGGCCCUGGGGUCCUGUCUGAACAACAAGUACUCGGAGGGUUAUCCUGGCAAGAGAUACUAUGGGGGAGCAGAGGUGGUGGAUGAAAUUGAGCUUCUGUGCCAGCACCGGGCCUUGGAAGCCUUUGACCUGGAUCCUGCACAGUGGGGAGUCAAUGUCCAGCCCUACUCCGGGUCCCCAGCCAACCUGGCCGUCUACACAGCCCUUCUGCAACCUCACGACCGGAUCAUGGGGCUGGACCUGCCCGAUGGGGGCCA